GAUGAACGCUGGCGGCGUGCCUAAUACAUGCAAGUCGAGCGAACAGACGAGGAGCUUGCUCCUCUGACGUUAGCGGCGGACGGGUGAGUAACACGUGGAUAACCUACCUAUAAGACUGGGAUAACUUCGGGAAACCGGAGCUAAUACCGGAUAAUAUAUUGAACCGCAUGGUUCAAUAGUGAAAGACGGUUUUGCUGUCACUUAUAGAUGGAUCCGCGCCGCAUUAGCUAGUUGGUAAGGUAACGGCUUUCCAAGGCAACGAUGCGUAGCCGACCGGAGAGGGUGAGCGGCCACACUGGAACUGAGACACGGUCCAGACUCCUACGGGAGGCAGCAGUAGGGAAUCUUCCGCAAUGGGCGAAAGCCUGACGGAGCAACGCCGCGUGAGUGAUGAAGGUCUUCGGAUCGUAAAACUCUGUUAUUAGGGAAGAACAAAUGUGUAAGUAACUAUGCACGUCUUGACGGUACCUAAUCAGAAAGCCACGGCUAACUACGUGCCAGCCGCCGCGGUAA
rnacentral:rRNA from 1 species